UAGGGAAUCUUCGGCAAUGGACGGAAGUCUGACCGAGCAACGCCGCGUGAGUGAAGAAGGUUUUCGGAUCGUAAAGCUCUGUUGUAAGAGAAGAACGAGUGUGAGAGUGGAAAGUUCACACUGUGACGGUAACUUACCAGAAAGGGACGGCUAACUACGUGCCAGCAGCCGCGGUAAUACGUAGGUGGCAAGCGUUGUCCGGAUUUAUUGGGCGUAAAGCGAGCGCAGGCGGUUCCUUAAGUCUGAUGUGAAAGCCCCCGGCUCAACCGGGGAGGGUCAUUGGAAACUGGGGAACUUGAGUGCAGAAGAGGAGAGUGGAAUUCCAUGUGUAGCGGUGAAAUGCGUAGAUAUAUGGAGGAACACCAGUGGCGAAGGCGACUCUCUGGUCUGUAACUGACGCUGAGGCUCGAAAGCGUGGGUAGCAAACAGGAUUAGAUACCCUGGUAGUCCACGCCGUAAACGAUGAGUGCUAAGUGUUGGAGGGUUUCCGCCCUUCAGUGCUGCAGUUAACGCAUUAAGCACUCCGCCUGGGGAGUACGACCGCAAGGUUG
rnacentral:rRNA from 1 species